UUCAUAGUUAAGUACGUGGACGACAUCUUCGCGAUAGUGAAACGAAACGACGUAGAUAUUAUUCUGAAAACAUUAAACCGGUACCACAACAAGCUGCAAUUUACUAUUGAAAGAGAGGAAAAUUUCAAGAUCCCCUUUUUAGACGUCCUCAUCCAUAGAAAAAAUGACGAAAUAUUACUUGACUGGUACUCCAAGCCUAUAUCAUCUGGACGAAUAAUAAAUUUUCUGUCCUCGCAACCCAUGAAAUAUAAAAUUAACGCAGCAAAAAAUUUGAUAAAUAAAAUACUGACCAUAAGCCACAAACAAUUUUUAGAUGAAAACACAAAGAAAAUCUACAAAAUCCUCACAAACAACAAUUACCCCAGUCACCUUAUAAAAACUCUAAUAGAACAAAAAUUAACAGAAGUAAACAACAAAGAAAAUAAAAUAACACCCACCGCAACAACAACUGAAACAAAACAAUACUUUAGCGUUACAUACAUACCUAAGUUGACGGACAAAUUCAACCACAACAUAAACGAACAUAAGAAAAACAUAACUCUGGCGUACAAGUCAAAUCGCACACUGUCCACAAUCUUCACGAAAACUAAAAGCCCGAUCGAAACCUACCAACAAAGCAACGUGGUGUACGAAGUGAAAUGCAUGGGAGGAGAAAAUGUAGACUGCAACAAAAUAUAUAUAGGUACAACGAAAAGAACACUGGGAAUCCGUUUAGCAGAACACGAAGCGGACAUAAGAAAGGAAAAGAAAAACACAGCACUCGCACAACAUAUGUUAGAAAACAGUCACACAGCUGAUCUUGCAAACGCCAGAAUAAUAGAUGUAGAAAAGAGAGAGAGGACAAGAUACACACUAGAGAGCCUUCGCAUAUUAGAGAAUAGAAAAAGAACGAUGAAUACAAAAGAAGACACAGAUGAUAUUGCGGCUACUUAUUUAUUAUGUUUGUGACAAGAAAAUCAGUAUGACAAGUGUACCAAACGAUAAUGGUACAAUGCUCUAGCUUUUAAGUGUUUAUGUUUUAGUGUUUAUAUGUUUAUAUGUUAACAAAUAUACGUAUAUGAAAAUUGGCCCCUGAGGAUGCUAAGGAGUUUAGCGAAACGUAGGGCAAAGCAGUGAAGAAAAAACGUUGUUUUUACUUGCACUAAUCACCAACUAGGCCAAAGAAGCUCAUCAAAAUUAAUAAAA